rnacentral:rRNA from 1 species
AUUUGUCUGGUUAAUUCCGAUAACGAACGAGACCUUAACCUGCUAACUAGAUUCAUCAGUAUUACUCUUGAUAUCUUCUUAGAGGGACUAUGUAAAACAAAUACAUGGAAGUUUGAGGCAAUAACAGGUCAGUGAUGCCCUUAUAUGUCCUGGGCUGCACGCAGUGCUACACUGAUGCAUACAACAAGUGCCUAACCAGACAUGGUAUGGCAAUCUCGAAUAUGCAUCGUGAUGGGGAUAGAUCUUUGCAAUUAUAGAUCUUGAACGAGGAAUUCCUAGUAAGUGCAAGUCAUCAUCUUGCAUUGAUUAUGUCCCUGCCCUUUGUACACACCGCCCGUCGCUCCUACCGAUACCGGGUGAUCCGGUGAACCUUUUGGACUCUUUACUGGGAAAGAUAAGUAAACCAUAUCACCUAGAGGAAGGAGAAGUCGUAACAAGGUUUCCGUAGGUGAACCUGCRGAAGGAUCA